CUACGGAGGGUGCAAGCGUUACUCGGAAUCACUGGGCGUAAAGCGCGCGCAGGCGGUCUUUUAAGUUGGAUGUGAAAGCCUACGGCUCAACCGUAGAACUGCAUCCAAAACUAUUAGACUAGAGUGUGGGAGAGGAAGAUGGAAUUAGUUGUGUAGGGGUAAAAUCCGUAGAGAUAACUAGGAAUACCAAAAGCGAAGGCAAUCUUCUGGAACACUACUGACGCUGAGGCGCGAAAGCGUGGGGAGCGAACAGGAUUAGAAACCCCAGUAGUCC
rnacentral:rRNA from 1 species